GCUCGAUACUGACACUGAGGUGCGAAAGCGUGGGGAGCAAACGGGAUUAGAUACCCCGGUAGUCCACGCCGUAAACGAUGUCUACUAGCCGUUGGAGGACUUGAUCCUUUAGUGGCGCAGCUAACGCGAUAAGUAGACCGCCUGGGGAGUACGGUCGCAAGAUUAAAACUCAAAUGAAUUGACGGGGGCCCGCACAAGCGGUGGAGCAUGUGGUUUAAUUCGAAGCAACGCGAAGAACCUUACCUACUCUUGACAUCCAGUGAACUUUUGAGAGAUCAAUUGGUGCCUUCGGGAACACUGAGACAGGUGCUGCAUGGCUGUCGUCAGCUCGUGUUGUGAAAUGUUGGGUUAAGUCCCGUAACGAGCGCAACCCUUGUCCUUAGUUACCAUCAUUAAGUUGGGGACUCUAAGGAGACUGCCGGUGACAAACCGGAGGAAGGCGGGGACGACGUCAAGUCAUCAUGGCCCUUACGAGUAGGGCUACACACGUGCUACAAUGGCAUGUACAAAGGGUUGCCAAGCCGCGAGGUGGAGCUAAUCCCAUAAAGCAUGUCGUAAUCCGGAUUGGAGUCUGCAACUCGACUCCAUGAAGUCGGGAUCGCUAGUAAUCGUGAAUCAGAAUGUCACGGUGAAUACGUUCCCGGGCCUUGUACACACCGCCCGUCACACCAUGGGAGUGGGUUGCUCCAGAAGUAGAUAGCUUAACCUUCGGGAGGGCGUUUACCACGGAGUGAUUCAUGACUGGGGUGAAGUCGUAACAAGGUAACCGUA
rnacentral:rRNA from 1 species